rnacentral:lncRNA from 1 species
UGAACUACUGCGCCCAGCCAAGUUCCUGAAAUCUCUUAUCUGUCUAAAAGCAGAAUCUACCAAAAAACAAAACAAAACAAAACCCUCGAUUGCCAUAAAUCCCCUCCCUGAGAGCAACAUAGAUGGAGAUGACAAGUUGGCACCACACCCAAACAGACAUUGUCACCAAACUCAUAUCUCCCAUCUAUUCUCCUAAGGGUUCAUUUAUCUUUCAAAAAAAAUCUUUAUUUUUCCAUAAAUGCCCUUCCCUAAUCCCCUUCUAAGAAGUUAUUAGUUCUCCCAGAAGUGUCCUCUGACCCUCCCCAUCCCCAAUUAAGAUGGUAUGUGAUAUGGUUUAGCUGUGUCCCCACCGAAAUCUCAUCUUGAAUUGUAGCUCCCAUAAUUCCCAUGUGUCAUGGGAGGGACUCAGUGGGAGGUAAUUGAAUCAUGGGGGCGG